rnacentral:rRNA from 1 species
GUGGGGAAUAUUGGUCAAUGGGCGCGAGCCUGAACCAGCCAAGUAGCGUGAGGGAUGACUGCCCUAUGGGUUGUAAACCUCUUUUGCAGGGGGGUAAAGUGGUCCACGUGUGGGCCAUUGCAAGUAUCCUGCGAAUAAGGAUCGGCUAACUCCGUGCCAGCAGCCGCGGUAAUACGGAGGAUCCGAGCGUUAUCCGGAUUUAUUGGGUUUAAAGGGUGCGUAGGCUGGAAGGUCAGUCAGCGGUGAAAAGCUGUCGCUUAACGAUAGUCUUGCCGCAGAUACUUCCUUUCUUGGAUGAGGAGGAGGCCACUGGAACGGAUGGUGUAGCGGUGAAAUGCAUAGAUAUCAUCCAGAACACCGAUUGCGAAGGCAGGUGGCUGUACCUUAAUCGACGCUGAUGCACGAAAGCAUGGGGAGCAAACAGGAUUAGAUACCCCGGUAGUCC